UACGUAGGGUGCGAGCGUUGUCCGGAAUUAUUGGGCGUAAAGAGCUCGUAGGCGGCCUAUUGCGUCUGCUGUGAAAGCCCGGGGCUUAACCCCGGGUCUGCAGUGGAUACGGGCAGGCUAGAGUUCGGCAGGGGAGACUGGAAUUCCUGGUGUAGCGGUGAAAUGCGCAGAUAUCAGGAGGAACACCUAUUGCGAAGGCAGCUCGCUGGGACGUUACUGACGCUGAGACGCGAAAGCGUGGGGAGCAAACAGG
rnacentral:rRNA from 1 species